GAUGAACGCUGGCGGCGUGCCUAAUACAUGCAAGUCGAGCGAACAGACGAGGAGCUUGCUCCUCUGACGUUAGCGGCGGACGGGUGAGUAACACGUGGAUAACCUACCUAUAAGACUGGGAUAACUUCGGGAAACCGGAGCUAAUACCGGAUAAUAUAUUGAACCGCAUGGUUCAAUAGUGAAAGACGGUUUUGCUGUCACUUAUAGAUGGAUCCGCGCCGCAUUAGCUAGUUGGUAAGGUAACGGCUUACCAAGGCAACGAUGCAUAGCCGACCUGAGAGGGUGAUCGGCCACACUGGAACUGAGACACGGUCCAGACUCCUACGGGAGGCAGCAGUAGGGAAUCUUCCGCAAUGGGCGAAAGCCUGACGGAGCAACGCCGCGUGAGUGAUGAAGGUCUUCGGAUCGUAAAACUCUGUUAUUAGGGAAGAACAAAUGUGUAAGUAACUAUGCACGUCUUAACGGUACCUAAUCAGAAAGCCACGGCUAACUACGUG
rnacentral:rRNA from 1 species